rnacentral:rRNA from 1 species
AUUGAACGCUGGCGGCACGCCUAACACAUGCAAGUCGAGCGGUAGCAUGGAUAGUAGCAAUACUAUCUGAUGACGAGCGGCGGACGGGUGAGGAAAACGUGGGAAUCUACCCUCAAGCGGGGGACAACCAAGGGAAACUUUGGCUAAUACCGCAUAAUCUCGAGAGAGCAAAGCUGCCGUAAGGUGGCACUUGAGGAGGAGCCUGCGUCCGAUUAGCUAGUUGGUGAGGUAAGAGCUCACCAAGGCGAUGAUCGGUAACUGGUCUGAGAGGACGACCAGUCACACUGGGACUGAGACACGGCCCGGACUCCUACGGGAGGCAGCAGUGGGGAAUAUUGGACAAUGGGGGCAACCCUGAUCCAGCGAUGCCGCGUGAGUGAAGAAGGCCUUCGGGUCGUAAAGCUCUUUAGGUUGGGAAGAAGUUUACGUGGGGAUAAUCCAUGUAGAUUGACGGUACCGACAGAAUAAGCACCGGCAAACUCUGUGCCAGCCGCCGCAGUAAGAC